AAGAUACUAGUAAAAUUAGAUAUUACAUUGCCUUGUCGAGGCAAAAUUGCAGGUUAGACCCCUGCGUACCUUA
rnacentral:tRNA from 1 species